rnacentral:rRNA from 1 species
GAAUUUUGGACAAUGGGGGCAACCCUGAUCCAGCCAUCCCGCGUGUGCGAUGAAGGCCUUCGGGUUGUAAAGCACUUUUUGCAGGGAAGAAAAGGCUCUGGCUAAUACCUGGAGCUGCUGACGGUACCUGCAGAAUAAGCACCGGCUAACUACGUGCCAGCAGCCGCCGUAAUACGUAGGGUGCAAGCGGUAAUCGGAAUUACUGGGCGUAAAGCGAGCGUAGGUGGCUUGAUAAGUCAGAUGUGAAAUCCCAGGGCUUAACCUUGGAACUGCAUUCUUAACUGCCGGGCUAGAGUAUGUCAGAGGGGGGUAGAAUUCCGCGUGUAGCAGUGAAAUGCGUAGAGAUGCGGAGGAAUACCGAUGGCGAAGGCAGCCCCCUGGGAUAAUACUGACGCUCAUGCACGAAAGCGUGGGGAGCAAAC